rnacentral:rRNA from 1 species
UACGGGGGGAGCAAGCGUUGUUCGGAUUUACUGGGCGUAAAGGGCGCGUAGGCGGUCAGCACAAGUCAGUUGUGAAAUCUCCGGGCUUAACUCGGAAAGGUCAACUGAUACUGUGCGACUAGAGUGCAGAAGGGGCAACUGGAAUUCUCGGUGUAGCGGUGAAAUGCGUAGAUAUCGAGAGGAACACCUGCGGCGAAGGCGGGUUGCUGGGCCGACACUGACGCUGACAGCGCGAAAGCCAGGGGAGCAAACGGG